rnacentral:lncRNA from 1 species
GGUGAUUUUCGCUAACUUCUGAGUAAUUUAUUUUGCUCAUUUAAGACCACAGUAAUGCUAAUAUAAGCUGCAUUACAAUGUAUCAUAAUAUUUGUUUACAUUUACAUAGAAGCCAUGUGUUGUUGGUCUGAAAUCAUGGUAUUUGAUCUGCCAUUGUCUGUUAGGUUGUUAAUCUUGCACAUCAGAACAAUGCAAAAACUUGAAUUUUCCAACUUCAUGUCCUGUUGCCAUGGUAAC